rnacentral:tRNA from 2 species
GGAAUAGCUCAGUUGGUAGAGCAUAACCUUGCCAAGGUUGGGGUCGCGAGUUCGAGUCUCGUUUCCCGCUCCA